AUUACUUUGGCAGAAAAUAAAUGUGUUAAAUUUAGAAUUUAAUUAUAUAAUAUAAAUUAUAGGUAAUA
rnacentral:tRNA from 1 species